UACGUAGGUGGCAAGCGUUGUCCGGAUUCACUGGGCGUAAAGGGCAGGCAGGCGGAAGGUUAAGUAGGAAGUGAAAGGUUGGAGCUCAACUCCAACACUGCUUCCUAUACUGGCUUUCUUGAGUCCCGGAGGGGAAAGCGGAACGACACGUGUAGCGGUGAAAUGCGUUGAUAUGUGUCGGAACACCAAUGGCGAGGGCAGCUUUCUGGACGGGAACUGACGCUCAUCUGCGAAAGCCGAGGUAGCGAACAGG
rnacentral:misc_RNA from 1 species